rnacentral:rRNA from 1 species
UACGAAGGGGGCUAGCGUUGCUCGGAAUCACUGGGCGUAAAGCGCACGUAGGCGGACUCUUAAGUCGGUGGUGAAAUCCUGGAGCUCAACUCCAGAACUGCCUUCGAUACUGAGGAUCUUGAGUCCGGGAGAGGUGAGUGGAACUGCGAGUGUAGAGGUGAAAUUCGUAGAUAUUCGCAAGAACACCAGUGGCGAAGGCGGCUCACUGGCCCGGUACUGACGCUGAGGCACGAAAGCGUGGGUAGCAAACAGG